CUUUCCUGAGCAGGAAAGAGACCAGGUCAAGCAGCAUAAAAUAUCCUUCUUAUUCCCUAGCAGAUGACUGGGGCUUCUUUUUCCUUUGGUUAAAUCCGAUUUGUAUUUCUUCUUGGCUAAUAUCCCCAGAGUGCUCUAGGCUGUUUUCUGCCUC
rnacentral:lncRNA from 1 species